UGGCGGCGUGGAUAAGACAUGCAAGUCGAACGGGAGAAUUGCUAGCUUGCUAAUAAUUCUCUAGUGGCGCACGGGUGAGUAACACGUGAGUAACCUGCCCCCAAGAGUGGGAUAGCCCCGGGAAACUGGGAUUAAUACCGCAUAAAAUCGCAAGAUUAAAGCAGCAAUGCGCUUGGGGAUGGGCUCGCGUCCUAUUAGUUAGUUGGUGAGGUAACGGCUCACCAAGGCGAUGACGGGUAGCCGGUCUGAGAGGAUGUCCGGCCACACUGGAACUGAGACACGGUCCAGACACCUACGGGUGGCAGCAGUCGAGAAUCAUUCACAAUGGGGGAAACCCUGAUGGUGCGACGCCGCGUGGGGGAAUGAAGGUCUUCGGAUUGUAAACCCCUGUCAUGUGGGAGCAAAUUAAAAAGAUAGUACCACAAGAGGAAGAGACGGCUAACUCUGUGCCAGCAGCCGCGGUAAUACAGAGGUCUCAAGCGUUGUUCGGAAUCACUGGGCGUAAAGCGUGCGUAGGCGGUUUCGUAAGUCGUGUGUGAAAGGCGGGGGCUCAACCCCCGGACUGCACAUGAUACUGCGAGACUAGAGUAAUGGAGGGGGAACCGGAAUUCACGGUGUAGCA
rnacentral:rRNA from 1 species